GAGGCGGCCGCGGUCGCCCGGCGCAGCCCGGCGCGAGGAGCAAAUGUGCGCCCGCACGGCGAGGGCAGCCCGGGCUUCGCUGGUUCUCGCCGAGGUCUUUCCUCGUAGCGCCCACACUACGGGGAGGAAAAGGAAUGGAGUCAACUUCGUUCGAAUCCAACGCCAGUUAGUUUCCUUAUUAUAACGUCAUUUUUUUUAAUCCAGAAAAGGUUCAUAAGGAUGUAAGACGAAAAGAACGAUGACAGCUCGAGAAAUAAAACGGCAAGUCAUCUUUGCACUCAUAACCACAUCUUUUAUGGAACAUCAAGCCUACUCUGAGGUACAGGCUUUCAGAAGCCUGAAUUUGGAGGACCAUGCCUGAACCAAAUGGAGUCUCCAGAAUCAAAACUGCUCAAAAUAAUCAUUCAUGGUUCUCAGACCAAAUAAGAUCUACUUAGAAACAUUUCUCGACAGCACGCUGCCAUGCCGACGCAGACCCCACUCUGCACGCCAGCCCCCCUGCACCCACCAUGGCCACAGUUCAGCAGCUAGAAGGAAGAUGGCGCCUGGUGGACAACAAAGGCUUUGAUGAAUACAUGAAGGAGCUAGGAGUGGGAAUAGCUUUGUGAAAAAUGGGCGCAAUGGCCAAGCCAGAUUGUAUCAUCACUUGUGAUAGCAAAAACCUCACCAUAAAAACUGAGAGCACUUUGAAAACAACACAGUUUUCUGGUACCCUGGGAGAGAAGUUUGAAGAAAACACAGCUGAUGGCAGAAGAACUCAGACUGUUUGCAACUUUACAGAUGGUGCAUUGGUUCAGCAUCAGGAGUGGGAUGG
ensembl:lncRNA FABP5P3 fatty acid binding protein 5 pseudogene 3